rnacentral:rRNA from 1 species
AGAGUUUGAUCCUGGCUCAGAAUGAACGCUGGCGGCAUGGAUUAGGCAUGCAAGUCGAACGUGAAGCCGUAGCUUGCUAUGGUGGAAAGUGGCGCAAGGGUGAGUAACACGUGAGUAAUCUGCCCCCGACUCUGGAAUAGCCCCGGGAAACUGGGAUUAAUGCCGGAUGCGGUUCCCGUCUUCAUGGAUGGAGAACCAAAGGUUGACUCCGGUCGGGGAUGAGCUCGCGACCCAUUAGCUAGUUGGCGGGGUAACGGCCCACCAAGGCUCUGACGGGUAGGUGGUCUGAGAGGAUGGUCACCCACACUGGGACUGAGACACUGCCCAGACUCCUACGGGAGGCUGCAGUCGAGAAUCUUCCGCAAUGGGCGCAAGCCUGACGGAGCAAUGCCGCGUGAGGGAUGAAGGCUUCCGGGUUGUAAACCUCUGUCACUCGGGACGAAGAUCUGACGGUACCGAGAGAGGAAGCCACGGCUAACUACGUGCCAGCAGCCGCGGUAAUACGUAGGUGGCGAGCGUUAUUCGGAUUUACUGGGCGUAAAGGGUCCGUAGGGGGUUUGCCAAGUCUGAUGUGAAAUUCCGGGGCUCAACCCCGGACGUGCAUUGGAAACUGGCGAACUAGAGUUCGCGAGAGGAAAGCGGAAUUCCAGGUGUAGCGGUGGAAUGCGUAGAUAUCUGGAAGAACACCAGCGGCGAAGGCGGCUUUCUGGCGCGAUACUGACCCUGAUGGACGAAAGCGUGGGUAGCAAACAGGAUUAGAUACCCUGGUAGUCCACGCCGUAAACGUUGUGCACUAGAUGUGGGAGGUCCUUUGGUCCCUUCCGUGUCCAAGCUAACGCGAUAAGUGCACCGCCUGGGGACUACGGCCGCAAGGCUAAAACUCAAAGGAAUUGACGGGGGCCCGCACAAGCGGUGGAGCAUGUGGCUUAAUUCGAGGCAACGCGAAGAACCUUACCUGGGUUUGACAUAUGCCGGACCGGUCGUGAAAGCGACCUUCUCUUCGGAGCCGGUAUACAGGUGCUGCAUGGCUGUCGUCAGCUCGUGCCGUGAGGUGUUCGGUUAAGUCCGGCAACGAGCGCAACCCAUGUCACUAGUUGCCAGCAGGUAAAGCUGGGGACUCUAGUGAGACUGCCCGUGUCAAGCGGGAGGAAGGCGUGGAUGACGUCAAGUCCGUAUGGCCCUUACAUCCAGGGCUGCACACGUGCUACAAUGGUCGGUACAGUGGGAAGCAAUACCGCGAGGUGGAGCAAAUCCUCAAAACCGGCCUCAGUUCGGAUCGGAGUCUGCAACUCGACUCCGUGAAGUCGGAAUCGCUAGUAAAGGCGUAUCAGCAACGGCGCCUUGAAUACGUUCCCGGGCCUUGUACACACCGCCCGUCACAUCAUGGAAGCUGGCUGCACCCGAAGUCCACGGCCCCAACUCUUCGGAGAGGGAGUGGCCGAAGGUGUGUCCAGUGACUGGGAUGAAGUCGAACAAGGUA